rnacentral:rRNA from 1 species
UGGGGAAUAUUGCGCAAUAGGCGAAAGCCUGACGCAGCGACGCCGCGUGAGGGAUGAAGGUUUUCGGAUCGUAAACCUCUGUCAGAAGGGAAGAAACCGCACUGUGCUAAUCAGCAGUGCCUUGACGGUACCUUCAAAGGAAGCACCGGCUAACUCCGUGCCAGCAGCCGCGGUAAUACGGAGGGUGCAAGCGUUAAUCGGAAUUACUGGGCGUAAAGCGCACGUAGGCUGCUUUGUAAGUCAGGGGUGAAAUCCCACGGCUCAACCGUGGAACUGCCUUUGAUACUGCUUAGCUUGAAUCCGGGAGAGGGUGGCGGAAUUCCAGGUGUAGGAGUGAAAUCCGUAGAUAUCUGGAGGAACAUCAGUGGCGAAGGCGGCCACCUGGACCGGUAUUGACGCUGAGGUGCGAAAGCGUGGGGAGCAAACAGG